rnacentral:rRNA from 1 species
AAGCCUACGGGGCGCAGCAGUGAGGAAUAUUGGUCAAUGGUCGGGAGACUGAACCAGCCAAGCCGCGUGAGGGAGGAAGGUACAGAGUAUCGUAAACCUCUUUUGUCAGGGGACAAAGACUGGGACGCGUCCCCGGAUGAGUGUACCUGAAGAAAAAGCAUCGGCUAACUCCGUGCCAGCAGCCGCGGUAAUACGGAGGAUGCGAGCGUUAUCCGGAUUUAUUGGGUUUAAAGGGUGCGUAGGCGGAAUAUCAAGUCAGCGGUAAAAAUUCGGGGCUCAACCCCGUCGUGCCGUUGAAACUGAUG